rnacentral:Y_RNA from 1 species
GGUUGGUCUGAGUACAGUGGUGUUUACAACUAAUUGAUCACAACCAGUUACAGAUUCCUUUGUUCUUCUCCACUCCCACUGCUUUACUUGACCAGCCUUUA